UACGGAGGGUGCGAGCGUUGUCCGGAAUCAUUGGGCGUAAAGGGCGCGUAGGUGGCCCGGUCAGUUCGUGGUGAAAGCGCGGGGCUCAACCCUGCGUCGGCCAUGAAUACUGCCGCGGCUGGAGCACUGUAGAGGCAGGCGGAAUUCCGGGUGUAGCGGUGGAAUGGCGUAGAGAUCCGGAAGAACACCGGUGGCGAAGGCGGC
rnacentral:rRNA from 1 species